CACAGCUACCCUAAGAUGAAAGUUAGAACCACCCCCUUUUUGACCAGGCGCGGUGGCUCAGGCCUGUAAUCCCACCACAGAGCCUGGCCUGCUGGGAUUAUUUCACACCGAUUUUUUUUUUAAGAUACUCUCUUGUUCUGUCAUCCAGGCUAGAGCGCAGUGGUGCAAUCAUGGCUCACUGCAGCCUGAAUCUCCUGGGCUCAAGCGAUCCUCCUGUCUCAGCCUCCUGGGUAGCUGGAGCUCCAGGCAUGUGUGGCACCAUGCCCAGCUAAUUUUUUAAUUUUUUUUUGUAGAGAUGCAUUUUUGCCAUAUUGUCCAGGCUGGUCUCCAACUCCUGGGCUUAAGCGAUCCACCCACCUCGACCUCCCAAAAUGUUGGAAUUACAGGUGUGAGCCACUGCACCCAACCCACGCCCAUUUUUAACAAAUGAAGAAACUGAGGCUUGCAGAGGUUAGAUCAUUUGCCCAAAAUCACAUGCUGGAUCCAGAACUAGAGCCCCCAGUCUUGUUAUUCUCAACACUUUUUCCUCCACACUACAGGGACUUGAUCUUAACACCACAGACAUGGCAAGCUCAGAGCCAAAAAUCAAUAUAUGCCCUAUUUACUUAAUCCAGAGUUUCUCAACCUGGCACUAAUAACAUUUUGAGCUGGAUUAUUCUUUGUUUGGGGGUGGGAGGGCGCUGCCCCACGCAUGGUAGGAAGUUGAGCAGCAUCCCUGGCCUCUACCCAUAGAUGUCACUAGCACCCCCUCCCGCAGUUCUGACAACCAAAAAUGUCUCCAGACUUUGCCAAAUGUGGGGGUGGAGGGAACUGCCCCAAUUGAGAACCACCAGUUUAGCCCUUCCUGGAAGACAGGCUCUGUGCUAACCACUUUUCCAGGAUCACCUCAUAAAACCCUCACCACAUCAAGAGAUGCUAUGAUGUCUAUUUUUGCAACUAGGGAAAAUGAGGGUAGGCAAACCCAGAGGCUCCAGGAAAGCAGCGAUCUUGUCUGUAAGCUCACCACUGCAUACCAGCACCUAGCACAAUGCCUAGCACGAGGUAAAUUGCUCAAUAAAUGGAGGUUGGUCGAAUAAGAUACAAGGAAGUCAAGCAAUUGUCCUAGAUAAGUAAUUGUCCUUACAUAGUACGUGGUCUGAGUCUAACACAUAUAGCUCAGAGUCCAGACUUAAAUUUACUCCCUUUCCUCACAAUUAGUGGUGGUCCCAUGACCCAAGGUCCGGGUACCACUCAAACAGGAAUCCUGAUAUCCACGUUUCCUCAUUCUCCACAGUGCUGAUUCCUAGGCAAUUCCUCAGCUCCCAGUUCCCACGGGCAAGCUCCUGGAGUCCCCACUCCCGCCCCUAGACCCCAGUUGUCGGGAAUCCAAGUUCCACACCCUCAGCGGGUGACCCGGACGGGCCCCUCAUUCAGAACGGAAAGUGGACUUCGGUCCCGAUCCCCCUUCACGGGCC
rnacentral:lncRNA from 10 species